ACGCUWGCUACAGGCUUAACACAUGCAAGUUCGAGGGGGCAUCAGAUCGAAASCUUKCUUUUGAUGCUGGCGACCGGCGCACGGGRUGAGUAACGCGUAUCCAACCYUUCCCUAUUAGUAGAGAAWWAGCCCCGGCGAAAGUCGGAUUAAUGCUCUAUGUUGUAUUUAGAAGACAUCUGAAGAAUACCAAAGGUUUUACCGCUAUWAGGAUGGGGGAUGCGUCUGAUUAGGUAGUAGGGCGGGGGUAACGGCCCACCUAGCCGACGAUCAGUAGGGGUUCUGAGAGGAAGGUCCCCCACAUUGGAACUGAGACACGGUCCAAACUCCUACGGGAGGCAGCAGUGAGGAAUAUUGGUCAAUGGACGGAAGUCUGAACCAGCCAAGUAGCGUGCAGGAUGACGGCCCUAUGGGUUGUAAACUGCUUUUAWAUAGGGAUAAAGUCGGGGACGUGUCCCCGUUUGUAGGUACUAUAUGAAUAAGGACCGGCUAAUUCCGUGCCAGCAGCCGCGGUAAUACGGAAGGUCCAGGCGUUAUCCGGAUUUAUUGGGUUUAAAGGGAGCGCAGGCUGAUGAUUAAGCGUGACGUGAAAUGUAGCCGCUCAACGGCUGAACUGCGUCGCGAACUGGUUAUCUUGAGUGAGUUCGAUGUUGGCGGAAUUCGUGGUGUAGCGGUGAAAKGCUUAGAUAUCACGAAGAACUCCGAUUGCGAAGGCAGCCAACAAGGCCUUUACUGACGCUAAAGCUC
rnacentral:rRNA from 1 species